rnacentral:lncRNA from 1 species
UUUCUGCAUAAUUUCUUUAUGGUAUGAGAGCUAGGGCAAUCAAUAUGUCCUCCUUCUGUUUUUAUUUUUUAAUCACCUUCUUCAACUUUCAUUGCUAUAAUUGUUUUGUCAUCUCUAGUUUUCUCAAAAAUUUAUCUAUUAUUUUCAAAAAAUCAUUACCAUGUCUUUCCUAUCUGAGUCUUUCAAAGCUAAUGCAUCUUUUGAGACUGCUACAGGAGUCCAUUCAAAUGAGCUCUGAAGUAUUCAAGCUGCCUAUCGCCUCAAUGGAAGGAAUUACAUGAUGUGGUCUCAAGUGGUUCGUAAUAAACUCAAGGGAAAAGGAAAACUCCAAUACUUGCUUGAACUGGCACCAGACAAGGACGAUCCCAAAUAUGAGGCAUGGGACGUUGAAGACUGUUUAAUCAUGUCAUGGCUUUGGGAUUCAAUGCAUCCAGAAGUAAGCGAAAAUUGCAUGUUCUUGACAACUGCAAAGGAGAUCUGUUAAACUAAAAGAUGCUGCCUUGGUCUUUGAAAUAAAGACUAAGAUUCAAUCAACCAAGCAAGGAAAUCUGUCUGUCACUGAAUAUUACAAUGCUUUGAACACCUUAUGGCUUGAACUUGAUUACAACCAUAACAUUAAGAUGAAGUGCAGUGACGAUGCCUCUUUAUUAUUUAAGUUCAUCGAAGGAGAAAGGAUCUAUGAGUUUUUGGCGGGAUUAAACAUGGAAUUUGAUCAAGAUCGAGUCCAAGUAUCGGGAAAAGAAGAACUACCACCUCUUAAUGAGGUCUUUGCUAUUAUUAGAGGAGAGGAAGGAAGGAGAUAAGUUAUGAUAGAGGCCCCGGCCCUCAAACAGGAAGGAUUUGCUCUAUUGUCCACCGUAGAGGCCUCUAAACCCGAAGGAUCUGCCUUAUUGUCUACAAAAAGGCCUGUGAACAGCCAAAAUUCUUACCAACUGAAGCAAAACAAUCGUGAUCGAUCAAGGAAUAACGACUUAUUUUGUAACUACUGCAAAAAGACAGGACACAAGAAAGAAGAUUGCUGGAAAUUGAAGGGAAAAACACAAUCAGACAGAAACUACAAUGGGAACUACAAUGGCAACAACUCUCAGCAAUUUCUGUGAAUCAAAAGCUAUGGAAUAGGCAAGGAAAUGUAGCUAUUACAAGGGAAAUAUUAGACCAGCAAGAAUUGCAUAUGUUCAACAAGGAGGAGGUUGAAAAAAUUCAAAGUCUACUCUGUACAAUAGACAAGCCAACUGGUUCAUAUUCCUUGCAAAUGCAGGUAUCUAUUCUGUCCAAGCUCUCUCUGCCUCAUUAAACAGCAAUCAUAGCAAAGCAUGGGUGAUAGAUUCAGGAGCCACGGAUCACAUGACCAACUCACCGUCUCAGUUUUCUUCACACACUCCGUGUUCUGGACAUUAGAAAUUUCGGGUGGCAGAUGGAACUAUAGCUUCUAUAGCAGGAACAUGAACUAUUUCAAUCCCUCAAUCUAUUACUCUUAAAUCUGUACUCCAUGUGCCUAUAUUGUCCAUGAACCUAUUAUCUAUUCCAAAGUUAACUAAAGAUUUCAAUUGCAAAGUGGUUUUCUCAUCUGACAAGUGCACUUUUCAGGAUCCAACUAUGGGGAAGAUGAUUGGGCUUGCUAAGGAGAAGGACAGGCUGUACUACUU